rnacentral:rRNA from 1 species
UCCGAAGGUGGCAAGCGUUGUUCGGAUUUACUGGGCGUACAGGGAGCGUAGGCGGUUGGAUAAGCCCUCCGUGAAAUCUCCAGGCUUAACCUGGAAAGUGCAGAGGGGACUGUUCAGCUAGAGGAUGGGAGAGGAGCGCGGAAUUCCCGGUGUAGCGGUGAAAUGCGUAGAGAUCGGGAGGAAGGCCGGUGGCGAAGGCGGCGCUCUGGAACAUUUCUGACGCUGAGGCUCGAAAGCGUGGGGAGCAAACAGG